AGUGCUGAAUCUUCAUUUUCCCCUUAUCUCUCAUUCAGUAAACUGAACAAGGAAGGAGAAGAAAACGUUGAGAAGGAAGGAGGGAAAGGAAAGGGGAAGAAUUAUACACCCAACGAUGCCAAUCACAUUUGUUGUGAUACUUUUUUCAGGAAUCCUUCAGGGCAAAGCUGAGAUCAUUCAAGAGUCCAUCAAGACAGCACUGUAUGGAAAACCAUUGGAUCUCUCUUGCAGUCACUCCUCUGCUACAAGUGAAACCAUUUUUUGGUACCGACAGUUCCCCAGCCAGGGUCCUCAAUACAUAGCAUCUGGAUACAAUGGAGAUGUUAAGAGUUCAGAGGUAGAAGGAGUCUUGCGUAUCUCCAAAGACCGAAAGUCCAGUGUAUUUGUCUUCACCAAAGUCAUCUGGGAGGAUUCUGCGGUGUACUACUGUGCCCUGGGUGACACACUGCUACAUCCUGGUUGGUCUGCUGUACAAGAAUUGAUUCAUUCUGGCCCUAGAUCAAGGAGGUACACAGAAGAGAUCUCUGAAAAAUGCACUCUUCUCUUUUCGUUUGCAAGUAGUGUUGCCAGGUUAUCAAAAUAGCAAUAAAGGACACUUGAAGUUUAUGACACGCAGAGCUGACAAUCAGAAAGUAGCUAUUAUCAAGUUUGCA